GGCUGGUUAGCUCAGUUGGUUAAAGCUCAGCCUUAUAACCCCAAUGUCAUGGGUUCGAAUCCCAUACCAGCCA